rnacentral:rRNA from 1 species
UUAGUCAUAUGCUUGUCUCAAAGAUUAAGCCAUGCAUGUCUAAGUAUAAGCAAUUAUACAGUGAAACUGCGAAUGGCUCAUUAAAUCAGUUAUCGUUUAUUCGAUAGUACCUUACUACUUGGAUAACCGUGGUAAUUCUAGAGCUAAUACAUGCUUAAAAUCCCGACUGUUUGGAAGGGAUGUAUUUAUUAGAUAAAAAAUCAAUGUCUUCGGACUCUUUGAUGAUUCAUAAUAACUUUUCGAAUCGCAUGGCCUUGUGCUGGCGAUGGUUCAUUCAAAUUUCUGCCCUAUCAACUUUCGAUGGUAGGAUAGUGGCCUACCAUGGUUUCAACGGGUAACGGGGAAU